rnacentral:rRNA from 1 species
GCUUAACACAUGCAAGUCGAACGGAUCCUUCGCUUUUAGUGGCGGACGGGUGAGUAACACGUGGGAACGUGCCUUUUGGUUCGGAACAACACAGGGAAACUUGUGCUAAUACCGAAUGUGCCCUUCGGGGGAAAGAUUUAUCGCCAUUAGAGCGGCCCGCGUCUGAUUAGCUAGUUGGUGAGGUAAAGGCUCACCAAGGCUACGACCAGUAGCUGGUCUGAGAGGAUGAUCAGCCACAUUGGGACUGAGACACGGCCCAAACUCCUACGGGAGGCAGCAGUGGGGAAUCUUGCGCAAUGGGGGAAACCCUGACGCAGCCAUGCCGCGUGAAUGAUGAAGGUCUUAGGAUUGUAAAAUUCUUUCAGCGGGGACGAUAAUGACGGUACCCGCAGAAGAAGCUCCGGCUAACUUCGUGCCAGCAGCCGCGGUAAUACGAAGGGGGCUAGCGUUGCUCGGAAUUACUGGGCGUAAAGGGCGCGUAGGCGGACAGUUAAGUCAGAGGUGAAAUCCCAGGGCUCAACCCUGGAAUUGCCUUUGAUACUGGCUGUCUUGAGUAUGGGAGAGGUAAGCGGAACUCCGAGUGUAGAGGUGAAAUUCGUAGAUAUUCGGAAGAACACCAGUGGCGAAGGCGGCUUACUGGCCCAUUACUGACGCUGAGGCGCGAAAGCGUGGGGAGCAAACAGGAUUAGAUACCCUGGUAGUCCACGCCGUANACGAUGAGUGCUAGUUGUCGGCAUGCAUGCAUGUCGGUGACGCAGCUAACGCAUUAAGCACUCCGCCUGGGGAGUACGGUCGCAAGAUUAAAACUC